rnacentral:rRNA from 1 species
UAUCCUAACCGUGCAAAGGUAGCGCAAUCAAUUGUCCCAUAAAUCGAGACUAGUAUGAAUGGCUAAACGAGGUCUUAACUGUCUCUUACAGGCAAUCGGUGAAAUUGAUCUCCCUGUACAAAAGCAGGGAUAUACCCAUAAGACGAGAAGACCCUGUGGAACUUUAAAACCUGCAACCACCUUGAAACACAUUCACUCCCACCGGGUUCACUGACACACAAGAUGCUGGUCUGCGUUUUUCGGUUGGGGCGACCUUGGAGCAAAACAAAACCUCCAAAGAUUAGACCAUACCUCUAGACUGAGAGCAACCCCUCAACGUGCUAAUAGCACCCAGACCCAAUACAAUUGAUCAAUGGACCAAGCUACCCCAGGGAUAACAGCGCAAUCUCCUCCGAGAGUCCGUAUCGACGGGGAGGUUUACGACCUCGAUGUUGGAUCAGGACAUCCUAGUGGUGCAGCCGCUACUAA